rnacentral:rRNA from 1 species
GCGUGUGUGAAGAAGGCCUUAGGGUUGUAAAGCACUUUCAGUAGGGAAGAAAUGCGUGAAGUUAAUACCUUCGCGUCUUGACGGUACCUACAGAAGAAGCACCGGCUAACUCCGUGCCAGCAGCCGCGGUAAUACGGAGGGUGCAAGCGUUAAUCGGAAUUACUGGGCGUAAAGCGCGCGUAGGCGGUUAUAUAAGUCGGAUGUGAAAUACCUGGGCUCAACCUGGGAACUGCAUUCGAUACUGUAUAACUAGAGUUUGGUAGAGGGAAGUGGAAUUCCACAUGUAGCGGUGAAAUGCGU